rnacentral:tRNA from 1 species
AGGAAUGUAGCUCAGUGGUAGAGCGCUUUCCUAGCAUGCAUGGGGUCCUGGGUUCAAUCCCCAGUACUGCAA